GAAUUUGAUCUUGGCUCAGAUUGAACGCUGGCGGAAUGCUUUACACAUGCAAGUCGAGCGGCAGCGCGGGGCAACCUGGCGGCGAGCGGCGAACGGGUGAGUAAUGCAUCGGAACAUGUCCAUGUCGUGGGGGAUAGCCCGGCGAAAGCCGGAUUAAUACCGCAUACGCCCGAGAGGGGAAAGUGGGGGACCGCAAGGCCUCACGCGAUUGGGUUGGCCGAUGUCCGAUUAGCUAGUUGGCGGGGUAAGAGCCCACCAAGGCGAUGAUCGGUAGCUGGUCUGAGAGGAUGAUCAGCCACACUGGGACUGAGACACGGCCCAGACUCCUACGGGAGGCAGCAGUGGGGAAUUUUGGACAAUGGGGGCAACCCUGAUCCAGCCAUUCCGCGUGAGUGAAGAAGGCC
rnacentral:rRNA from 1 species